rnacentral:rRNA from 1 species
AACGAACGCUGGCGGCAUGCCUAACACAUGCAAGUCGAACGAGACCUUCGGGUCUAGUGGCGCACGGGUGCGUAACGCGUGGUAACCUGCCCUUAGGUUCGGAAUAACUCCCCGAAAGGGGUGCUAAUACCGGAUAAGGUCUUCGGACCAAAGAUUUAUCGCCUUUGGAUGGGCCCGCGUUGGAUUCGCUAGUUGGUAGGGUAAAAGCCUACCAAGGCGACGAUCCAUAGCUGGUCUGAGAGGAUGAUAAGCCACACUGGGACUGAGACACGGCCCAGACUCCUACGGGAGGCAGCAGUGGGGAAUAUUGGACACUGGGCGAAAGCGUGAUCCAGCAAUGCCGCGUGAGUGAUGAAGGCCUUAGGGUUGUAAAGCUCUUUUACCCGGGAUGAUAAUGACAGUACCGGGAGAAUAAGCUCCGGCUAACUCCGUG